UCGGGAAUUUUGGGCAAUGGGCGAAAGCCUGACCCAGCAACGCCGCGUGAAGGAUGAAGUAUUUCGGUAUGUAAACUUCGAAAGAAUAGGAAGAAUAAAUGACGGUACUAUUUAUAAGGUCCGGCUAACUACGUGCCAGCAGCCGCGGUAAUACGUAGGGACCAAGCGUUGUUCGGAUUUACUGGGCGUAAAGGGCGCGUAGGCGGCAAUUCAAGUCAUCUGUGAAAUCUCCGGGCUUAACUCGGAACGGUCAGAUGAUACUGCUUUGCUAGAGUGCAGAAGGGGCAAUCGGAAUUCUUGGUGUAGCGGUGAAAUGCGUAGAUAUCAAGAGGAACACCUGAGGUGAAGACGGGUUGCUGGGCUGACACUGACGCUGAGGCGCGAAAGCCAGGGGAGCAAACGGGAUUAGAUACCCCGGUGUCCCUGAGCGGGCUGGCAAGGCGCAU
rnacentral:rRNA from 1 species